UUUAAACUUUUUUUUUUAUUUCUAAUGUAAUUGUAUAAAUUGUACUUGUAGCAUUCUCAUUAUAGAUAGGA
rnacentral:tRNA from 1 species